GCAGCAGGCGCGCAAUUACCCACUCCCGGCACGGGGAGGUAGUGACGAAAAAUAACGAUACGGGACUCAUCCGAGGCCCCGUAAUCGGAAUGAGUAUACUCUAAAUCCUUAUACGAGUAUCAAUUGGAGGGCAAGUCUGGUGCCAGCAGCCGCGGUAAUUCCAGCUCCAAUAGCGUAUAUUAAAGUUGUUGCGGUUAAAAAGCUCGUAGUUGGAUCUGUGUCCCGCACCGCCGGUUCACCGCCUGUCGGUGUUCAACCGGCGUGUACGUGGGACGUCCUGCCGGUGGUGGUCCGGUACCCCGUCGGCACGUAKGGGCCGUCCUGCUCUGCAUGCGUCGACCCCKAAGGCCUUCGCGGGCUUCCGGCCRCCYUUCRAUYCCRYCKCGRWGCUCUUUACCGAGUGUCGAGGCGGGCCGGCACGUUUACUUUGAACAAAUUAGAGUGCUUUAAGCAGGCCCUGUCACGCCUGUAUGUUGUGUGCAUGGAAUAAUGGAAUAGGACCUCGGUUCUAUUUUGUUGGUUUUCGGAAUCUGAGGUAAUGAUCAAUGGGGACAGGCGGGGGCAUUCGUAUUGCGACGUUAGAGGUGAAAUUCUUGGAUCGUCGCAAGACGGACCGAAGCGAAAGCAUUUGCCAAGUAUGUUCUCGUCGAUCAAGAACGAAAGUUAGAGGUUCGAAGGCGAUCAGAUACCGCCCUAGUUCUAACCAUAAACUAUGCCUGCCAGCGAUCCGCCGAAGUUCCUCCGAUGACUCGGCGGGCAGCUUCCGGGAAACCAGAGCUUUUGGGUUCCGGGGGAAGUAUGGUUGCAAAGCUGAAACUUAAAGGAAUUGACGGAAGGGCACCACCAGGAGUGGAGCCUGCGGCUUAAUUUGACUCAACACGGGAAAACUCACCAGGCCCGGACACCGGAAGGAUUGACAGAUUGAGAGCUCUUUCUUGAUUCGGUGGGUGGUGGUGCAUGGCCGUUCUUAGUUGGUGGAGCGAUUUGUCUGGUUAAUUCCGAUAACGAACGAGACUCUAGCCUACUAACUAGGCGUACCCGGUAUCCACAAUCGUGCUACCGGCGAUCAAAUUUCUUCUUAGAGGGACAGGCGGCUUCUAGCCGCACGAGACUGAGCAAUAACAGGUCUGUGAUGCCCUUAGAUGUCCUGGGCCGCACGCGCGCUACACUGAAGGAAUCAGCGUGUCUUCCCUGUCCGAAAGGACCGGGUAACCCGCUGAACCUCCUUUGUGCUAGGGAUUGGGGCUUGCAAUUGUUCCCCAUGAACGAGGAAUUCCCAGUAAGCGCGAGUCAUAAGCUCGCGUUGAUUACGUCCCUGCCCUUUGUACACACCGCCCGUCGCUACUACCGAUUGAAUGAUUUAGUGAGGUCUUCGGACUGGUGCGCGGGGCCGCUCCCGCGGUCCCCGAUGUUGCCGGAAAGAUGACCAAACUUGAUCAUUUAGAGGAAGUAAAAGUCGUAACAAGGUUUCC
rnacentral:rRNA from 1 species